rnacentral:snoRNA from 1 species
UAUUAAGAUAAAAUACAUUUUAUUGUGUUAAAAAUAUUUUUUUUCAUUGCUACAGCAACAAAGUCUAAUCUAUUCUGGUGCUCUCCUCUAUGAGACAAGCCGUUAUAUAGACUUAGACAGU